UCUGCGUUAGGGAUGGAAGCGGCAUCCUUUUGAGAAGCGUAGCGGAACAAAAGAUACAGCGGACAGCCUGGCGCCGG
rnacentral:misc_RNA from 1 species